UAAUGUGGAUCCCAGGGUAUUGCCAA
rnacentral:piRNA from 1 species